UUAUUAAUUUUUAGUCUUAACACAAACUGAUUGCGGCACAAACCCUUAGAGGAGAGAACGACAAGAUCUAUCGCAGAUUGGAAGGGUUCGGAGGCAUUGAGGAAAGAAAAAGUAUUGGAGAAGUAGCUUUUUCGCUUCGGUUCUUCGGUGGAGG